rnacentral:rRNA from 1 species
GACGAACGCUGGCGGCGUGCCUAACACAUGCAAGUCGAACGGAGAGGUACUAGAGCUUGCGCUUGUACGACUUAGUGACAAACGGGUGAGUCACGCGUAACCAACCUGCCCAACGGGUGUGGCCAACAGACGGAAACGACUACUCAUACCCAAUAGACUCCGUUUUCGCAUGAAACCGACAGGAAAGGUGGCCUCUCGAAGAAGCUACCGCCGCAGGAGGUGUUUGCGUGGGAUUAGUUAGUUGGUGGGGUGACGGCCUACCAGGACGAGGAUCAAUAGCCCGUCGGAGUGGAUGGACGGCCAGACUGGAACUGUGACACGGCCCAGAGGCAUAGGGGAGGCGGCAGUGCGGAUUCUGGAGCAAUGGACGAGAGUCUGACGGAGAUACGCGGAGUGAGUGAGGAGCGCCGCCGGGUGGUAAAUCUCUGUCAUUCGGGAAUAACGCUUCGUUUCCAAAGAAGGAGCGUAAGUGACGGUACCGAAUGAGAAAGCCACGGCUAACUACGUG